AGAGUUUGAUCAUGGCUCAGAUUGAACGCUGGCGGCAGCGUUAACACAUGCAAGUCGAGCGGAGAUAAGGUGCUUGCACUUAUCUUAGCGGCGGACGGGUGAGUAAUGCUUAGGAAUCUGCCUAUUAGUGGGGGACAACAUUCCGAAAGAAUGCUAAUACCGCAUACGUCCUACGGGGGAAAGCAGGGGAUCUUCGGACCUUGCGCUAAUAGAUGAGCCUAAGUCGGAUUAGCUAGUUGGUGGGGAAAGGCUACCAAGGCGACGAUCUGUAGCGGGUCUGAGAGGAUGAUCCGCCACACUGGGACUGAGACACGGCCCAGACUCCUACGGAGGCAGCAGUGGGGAAUAUUGGACAAUGGGGGGAACUGAUCCAGCCAUGCCGCGUGUGUGAAGAAGGCCUUAUGGUGUAAAGCACUUUAAGCGAGGAGGAGGCUACUGAGCUAAUACUCUUGGAUAGUGGACGUUACUCGCAGAAUAAGCACCGGUAACUCUGUGCCAGCAGCGCGUAAUACAGAGGUGCGAGCGU
rnacentral:rRNA from 1 species